AGACUUUUCACAAGUUCGCAAGCUUUUGAAGGUCAAGGUUAAAACAAUGGCGGCGCCCAUGCAACGUUCAAUUUUUAACUUGCUGAAAUCAACAUCUGGUAGUUUAAAAAGAUCGCUAAGCGGAACAAAUAGAGUGACUGGAAGUCUUCUUAAUCAGCAACGUAGAGCAGACGUCAGAGACUAUUCAACAGAGCCACAACAUGCACAAUAUAGUAAAUAUGGAGGAAGAACUACUGUGACAGCCUUGACAGGAGAUGGCGUUGGACCAGAGUUAUUAUCUUAUGUAGAGGAAGUGUUCAGAUAUGCAGGGGCCCCUGUAGAUUUCGAGAAUUUGGAAAUAAAUGCUAGCACAAGUGAUGAGGAAACACUACGCAGUGCUAUCCUGUCAGUGCAGCGCAAUGGAAUAGCUCUCAAAGGAAAUAUUGAGAGUAAAUUUGACGAACCAGGAUUCAAAUCCAUGAAUGUUGAACUAAGGACAAAGCUGGAUUUAUUUGCCAGUAUUGUGUGGUGUAAAUCCAUUGCUGGAGUCCACACUCGACACCAAAACUUAGACAUCAUCUUAAUAAGGGAAAAUACAGAGGGAGAAUACUCAAACCUAGAAUAUGAGAUUGUACCAGGCUGUAUAGAGAAUCUGAAAAUAAUAACAGCAGCAAAGUCUACCAAGAUUGCUAAAUAUGCCUUCGAAUUUGCCAAGACCCAUGGUAGAAAGAAGGUCACAGCUAUUCACAAGGCAAACAUCAUGAAAUUAGGAGAUGGACUUUUCUUAGAAUCUUGUAGAAAGGUGGCCUGUCAGUACCCAGACAUUGAGUUCAGUGACAUGAUUGUAGACAAUGCCAGUAUGCAGAUGGUGUCUAAGCCUCAGCAGUUUGAUGUCCUAGUGAUGCCCAAUCUCUACGGUAACAUCCUGAGUAACAUCACCGCUGGGCUGGUCGGGGGCCCCGGGGUGAUUCCAGGCAUGAACAUCGGGGACAACUACGCUGUCUUUGAAAUGGGAACUAGAAGUUCUGGUCGCAGUAUGAAAGGGAAGAAUAUUGCCAAUCCCACAGGAAUGUUGUUAGCAAGCUGUGAUAUGUUGGACUACAUUGGCUAUAACCACCACGCUGAGUUAAUCCGAGAAUCUGUGAUGAAGGUUUUGUCUGAGGACAGGAUUCAGACCCCAGAUCUAGGAGGUCAUGCAACAACUUUAGAAGUUGUACAAGCCAUCAUAGAUGAUAUUAAACCAAAGACGUCUAGUUGGAGUUCCACUGCAGCACAAAAUAUUUACAGCCUCAGAUGAGGUAAUGGGCAGUUAGAACAUCUUAAAUAAGCUGCAUGAUUAGACUGUCCACAUGAGGAACAAUGAAGAAAAGGGGUACCACUACUGAACAAUGAAGCUAUCCAAAAGGAAUAUUUUGUAAAAUGUUAAAAGUGUUUUGUAAAUUUAGAAGAAAAAAAGAACAGUUUUAGCAGCUUCCAGUACUGUUUAUGUUUCAAUUGCAUGAAGUGAAAGAAUUUUUUUUUAAUUUUUCCUUUUAAAUUGUUAUAUUAGUUAAAUUUACUUAAAUUAUUUUCCAUUAUGUUAUUGUGUUCCUACAUAUAUAUGUAUUUGUUUUUAUUAAAAGAUGAAGAUCUGAACUGAA